GACAGAGGGUGCGAACGUUGUUCGGAAUUACUGGGCGUAAAGCGCGUGUAGGCGGUCGUGCAAGUCGGGUGUGAAAGCCCUGGGCUCAACCCAGGAAGUGCAUUCGAUACUGCGCGACUGGAGUCCCGGAGAGGAUGGUGGAACUCUCGGUAUAGAGGUGAAAUUCGUAGAUAUCGAGAAGAACACCGGUGGCGAAGGCGGCUCACUGGCCCGAUACUGACGCUGAGGCACGAAAGCGUGGGGAGCAAACAGG
rnacentral:rRNA from 1 species